CCCAGGAAGGGUCCUCCGCCCAGCUUGGGCUGCGCGGUGCGCGGGGUGCCAUUCCGGGGACUGGGGCUCGUCCGCCGUUCUCGGGGCGCCAGGAGGCCGGCUCUCCCGCACUUUCCAGUUUAACCAGGUCAAAUUUUUGCCGGGCAGGGAGCCACUCCCGGGCGGAGUGACGGACGAGAGGCUUCGCUCCAAACCGAGGCCCCCGCCCCAGGCAGAAGCAGAGCUCACGCCCCUCGCGCCCGCGGCGCCCGGGCUCGCCUUCUCGGCCUCCCUGCGAGCCGGCUGCGGGCUCCAGGGCGCCCCUCGGAGUCCGCGUGGCUGCGGGGCUCUGCCCUGGGGGCUUGUCCUCCAAGGCGACGCUAUCUCCGCUCCGCUGUUGUACCAGCACUGCGACGGUGCUCCGUGGUACGACAGGUUGGGUUUGCGUGUGUGCAGGGACACUAACUGCAGCCGUCACUGGUUAAUUCCAGCGCUGUCCUCGGCAUCCUCGCAGUGCCAGCUCCGGCCAGCCGCCGGGUCAGCGGGAAAGCCCUUCGUCGCUUAGAGCAUCUUUCCAGACCCGCUGGCUGUGUAUUUUCGCUCCGGCGGAGCGAAAUGAUUUGCACCACCGUGGUUGGCUAAUGGCGCCGUUGCAUCGCUGCGCCUAACGCUGCUUUUACUUGGAAGGAAUUUACUAUUUCACCAAUUCUUGUUGAUCUCUUCGGAGCCUGAUCUCAAAACUUGCGUGGCCCUGAAAGCGCUUUUGCUGAAUAGCUUCACCCUGACACUUCUGUACACUCACUCCCUGGGCGACUUCCCGUCUGCAUUUCAAAUACCAACUGUGUGUGCUGUAAAUACAGCUACACGUUGGGUUUUGAGGACUUAGUAUGAGAAAAUAAUGUAAAAUAUAUUGAUAAUUUUAAAAAUGUUGAUUACAGUUUGAAAUAUUUUUAUAGACUUUGUUAAAUAUUAAAAUUAAUAUCCCUUGCCACACAGCAGAGGAGACUGAGACAUGACAACUAACUGCAAUGUGCUCUCAUGGAUUGGGUCCUGGAACAGAAAGAGAACAUUAAUGCAAAAACUGAUGAAAUGCAAAUAAUAAAUCACUGAGGUCUAGUUAGUAGUAAUGUACUAGUGUUGGUUUCUUAAUUUUGACAGAUGUACCACAGUAAUGUGAAAUCUUAACAACAGGGAAAUUGAGCGAAGGGUAUAUGCCAACUCUGUACUACCUUUGCAACUUUUCUGUAAAUCGAAAAUUGCUCCAAAAUAAAAAAUUUAUUAAAA